GCUUAUGGCCAUACCAGCCUGGGUACGCCCGAUCUCGUCUGAUCUCGGAAGCUAAGCAGGGUCGGGCCUGGUUAGUACUUGGAUGGGAGACCGCCUGGGAAUACCAGGUGCUGUAACCA
rnacentral:rRNA from 1 species